AUGCUGCGCUCAUUGCUCAAUUUCCUCUUUAACGUUACUAACCCUGUGACGCUUUCCCUGCUUCUCUUUCUCUCUCUUACUCUCUCUUCCUUCUCCUGUUCAUGUCGCAGUCACGACUUUUGUGGUUUAGUGGAGUUAGUGUCGCUGAAAGGGACUCUGUGUUUUCUGUGGUCUAGAGAUCGUAUGGGAUAGGAAUGUCGCCAAUAGCUAGGAGCAUGGGCUGGCCCUGAGCAAUGUGAGAUGGAAUUAGCUUCGUGGACGUCGGGUGUGCGGGCUACCAAUGCUGUAGUCACGAAUGGUUUGUAGUGAUCAACAGUUUCGCGCAGUAGAUGUCGACGGUUUGCACAUGCCUGGCCGAUCCAACGUGUUGCACAUGGUGCGGGGCGAUCUCGUAGAGCCAGCCGUGUCAUACUAAGUUAGUGUUUUUGGUUCAGGUCUGCGUGAAGGAGUGUGUGUACGACGCACUUGUGAUUGUAGUUUCAGGAACUCUUAGGGGAGUUGCAUAUAUUAUUUGUAUUUUCGGUGACACACAGGGGCAACUUGCAGCAGCUGAAGCACUAUAGUUGCUGCGAUCGACCUAUUCGCGCAGUGGGGGGAUUGCAACACGCGACGAUCGACGCAUUUUUUGGAGUGUAUUGCAGUCUUAGGGUUUCAGGAUACUCAAGGGAGGGUUACUUACAGAGGCAGUCACAAUGCCUCUGUUUAUGACCGAAUCGGAACUGGAGGCGGAAGGUGGUAAUGUAGACGCGAUAGUGGCAAAGGCUGACGCAUUCAUUCGGGUGUUACAACAACAGCUUGAGACGCACAAGCAGGCCUGCUUUGAUGUCGAGGAGAUGUUCCUCACGGCUGAGAAGAAUGGAAAGGACGCUGCUAGGGCUUUGGAGGAGUUGAAGGAGCUAAACCUUGACUUGGAAGCGAAGCUUGAACAAACCAACAAGGAGCUGAGUUCCUUGAAAAAGGGUCGCGGUGGAAGAGAUCAUAGAUCCGGGGCCAAAGUUGCUCCGGAAGUCGACUCCAAGGAAAAGCUUCACAAGCUGUCAGCUAAGGCCAAACCUACGCCGGUGAAGGCCAAAGAAGAAGCAUGUACAUCAUCAGAAAAUGGUGCUCCAGCCCGAGCUUCUGAGUUUUGUGAGAAAGCAAACGGUAAGGAUCCCACCCAAAAUGGUCGCACUCAUGCGGAUCAGAGAGCGCCUGUCUCUGCCCGAAAUGCCAACCCAACGCACUUCACACCCACAUCUGCCCCAGUUGGCGAUGGAAUUCUCUCAUUAGAGCUGUCUAAGGAGGAUCAAGAUGCACUGGAGACACUGAACAAGGAGGACGCAAAGCUGGGGGAAGAAAUGGCCGCACUCAAGAGUAAAGGCGGCAACACAUCCGGCUUCAGCUUCAAGAGCCACGAACGAGCAGAGAAGCGACGGGAGUUCUAUUCGAAACUGGAGGAGAAGAUGCGAGCCAAGGAAGAAGAGAAGAACCAAAUCGAGGCGAAGACACAAGAGGAGAUGGAGAACAAGGUGAAGGAGUUACGAAAGGGUCUGAAGUUCAAAGCCACUCCGUUGCCAAGCUUCUACCAAGAAUCCGGCCCUCUAAAAGUAGAAGUGAAGAAGAUUCCACCAACUCGAGCAAGGUCUCCCAAGCUCACCACAUCACGAAGAGCUAGUCAUGGGGGAGUGGGGACAGAGCAUGAUCGCUCAAAAUCUCCAGUGGCUAGAAUUAAGGUCUCCACCGAUCAUGCUUCUAAGAACGGUUCGAAGGAUGAGACGAAGAAGUCACUUCCACGACGUCCAAAGAGUAGUGCUGCCUUAUCUAGGCGUGUAAGUCUCGACUCAGGCCUGGCGAAGCUUGCUGCCGGAGCACCCAGCAAGGACAAAGCAACGAAUGCAGUGGUACCGGAAGUGGCAGUCGCAUUCUAGAGAAGCAGCAUCAAUGUGCCGGUGUCGUGUAGGAUCUGGCGGCCGUAGAAGUUCCAGUGGAUUUUGUGUCCUUUUUGUAAAAAUGAGGGUUGUGAUACUUCAAAUCCAGUAGUAGUGGUUUGUUCAGAAGGAUAUGAACAUGCUUGUUACCACUCACAGGAGACCAUUGACACGAGAUGUGUGCAUCCCGUCAUCGAUGUGCGUCCCAGCGUGAGCUUCUUUCCUGGUUUGACGAUUCUACCCCAUCCUGUUGUCGAUAUGCCCUGCGCCCCACAUCAUCGAUUGUUUCGCUCAUUACAAACAGUAUUGGGUGGUGCAAUUAUGUGAACCAAUUUUUCUUUCUUCUUGUUGGUUCAUUUAUUCGAGGUGAGUUACAUCUUCCAAUGGCACUCUGAUUGUAUGAUCUUUUGGGUUUGAUCUCACAUGAUAAUAUUCUCAAACACAGAACGUAACAGCAAUGUAAAUGUCAAAGUGCACGGCAUUGAGGCUUGUUUUACCAGGACUCAAGCCACUUUCCAUGGAAUUAAAUGCACUCCUAAUGAUUAAAUUGCAGUAAAAACAAGUGUUGGUGCAUCAGAUUAUUUAGUGUAAACAAUUCGAACUGAAUUCCAUUUGUGCAAGUGGGGACUUGACUGGAAGCCUACAAGAUGUUUCAAAAUCGAUCUAUUGAAGUGGGGGACUGCAUUUAAUAAACGGUGAUACCUUGCUGAA